AGUCAGGACACACACAAUGCCUGAUCACAAACCUGGGCACCAUCCAAGCCACCCUCUUCCUGGUUAACAAGUGACUGUGGUUUCUCUGUCGAUGACAGCUGUAACCUUGCUCCUGCCUGUCCCACCUAGAGACAAGCUGCAGGAAGACACCUUGUCUUGGAUUCACCCUGGCUCCCCAGUAGCAUCUAUCUCACUGCCUGACUCCACAUUUGUGAACCUCCCUCAAAGCAGAGAACGGGAGGUCCAGCUUUAUGUUUUUCUACCAUGUCUUGCAGUUUGCUGUGGUUUGUUCUGGGGGAAAAACAGAAGCAAUGGAGAGCCCCAGGAGGCUUCCAAGGGAGAGACACAGUGCCAGCGUUUGGAAAAAAGAUCAUUCUUCUUGUGCACGCAAGGUACGUGGAUGGGGUUAGUGGCGGUGGAUGCGCCAGAUAUAAGUAGUGUGGCAGGACAAGAGAGCAACGAGAGCAUCUCCUUGGCUGGAGUCAUAGCUGCAGCAGAGGACACAGAGAGGAGGGGAGACACCAACAGGGCAGCGACCGAGGUAGGCUAGGUGCUGGGGAAGGUGCCUGGCCCAUGAUUGCUGACGGCUUCCUCGCUCCCACAUGCUGAAUGGACCCUGGGGCUUUUAACCAAGUGGGAGCUGAAGGGUGUGGAGGAAGGAUUCGAGGUUAGACUUUGAGUCUAUGGCCUUGAAUAUUUUGAUUUUUCAAUGAUUCCUGAGGAUCCCACCAUCCUACAUCUCCGUCACACAAGUGGGAAGAAGAUUUGGAGCCAAGGUCACAAGCUCGCCAACAACACGGCUGGGCCUUGAUCCCAUGCCUUCUUUUCCCAGUUCCAAUGGUCUUUCCAUAAUGUAACACAGACUGACCCCAAGAGGACCCAACUUGAACUUGGGGCAGAGUGAGUUUAGUUACUGGAGGUCCUCAUUAACGGGGGCUGAGAGGUGGGACCUCAGCUUCUCACACAGAGCCUGGACUGUUACCCAGGCCCCUCUGAACUGCUCUGGACGAUUUAUUCUGCACUGGACCACUGUGACCUGGACUGCACUUCUGGGAAACCUCUUACCUCGAGAAAGAAAGAAAGAAAGAAAAAAGCCUGUCAGAUCAUGCUCUGAAUAAUAACCUUGUUGGAAAAAAAGACAAAUAUGCAAUAGGAAAAAGACUGAUUCCCCCCAUGCCAAAAAAUAA
rnacentral:lncRNA from 1 species